UACGUAGGGUGCGAGCGUUAAUCGGAAUUACUGGGCGUAAAGUGUGCGCAGGCGGCCGAGCAAGUCGAGUGUGAAAGCCCCGGGCUUAACCUGGGAACUGCGCUCGAAACUACUUGGCUUGAGUGUGGCAGAGGGAGGUGGAAUUCCACGUGUAGCGGUGAAAUGCGUAGAGAUGUGGAGGAACACCGAUGGCGAAGGCAGCCUCCUGGGCCAACACUGAUGCUCAUGCACGAAAGCGUGGGGAGCAAACAGG
rnacentral:rRNA from 1 species